rnacentral:lncRNA from 1 species
GGGGGCUAAUGGUGCCAACAGCCAGUGCCACUUCCCGUCCUCAACCAGCCUUUCUUUGAGUCCUGGCCCAGGGCUGGGUAUGGAGCUUAUCAGCAGCCAGACUCAGUUACCGGAUUCACCUCUGUCUCCCCAGCCAUCGGCAAAGUACCUGGUCCUGCCUGGUACUCAGCAAGUAUUUGUUGACCCAACUGAACUUCCCUGGGGCCAGCUCUGGCAGGAAACCAAGGACCCAGCCUGAGAAGACCCCAGAGCCAGCCAAUAGUCCCAAGGGAGGAAUAAAGUGCUUCCUCCAGUCUGUCGCUCCAACCUGCCCCACUCCCUCCAACUGGAGGCAGGUGAGAACUUGUCAUUCCCCAAAUCCUUGGCAAGGUGCAGCCUUCAGCAGAUGUUAGGACUGGCUUUGGAGCCAAGAUAUCUUUGGAAAGGUGUCGUAUCUAAUUAACCUAAUAAGUAGGUUGUAAGCUGUGACCGGAACCGGCGGAGGAUUCACCCUGACAGAUGGGGAGGGGUGGGUCAUACUGGCUGCAGGCGCCUGCCAAGGAGCCGCUGGCUGGCUGUGGCCUUCAGAAGAGCUAAUAGGAGGCUUUGACUUUAUAUAAGAUACAGGGCAAGCAGAAGUGACACCAACAUCAUAUGCACAGUGAUAAUAACUGCCAUUUGUGGAGUUCUUACUAUGUGCCGAGCACUGAGUAAGCAUUAUCUCAUUUAAUUCUCACAACAACUCUAGAAUGCAAAAGCUAUUAUUAUCCCCCAUUGACAGAUGAUGAAACUGAGGCACUAAGAGGCUGAGUAACUCGCCUAAGUUCACACAGCUAGAAAGGGGUAGAGAUGGGGAUUCAAAUCCAGGCCUUUGGAUUCUUCUUUUGGAGACUCUUUUGGAGUCCGUUCUUUUAGCCACAACCCUUGGUUCCUUCCCCUACCUCUUCUCCCCACCCCCAAUCAUUUCCAAGACAUUUGGUAAAUGACAGUGAGAUGAAAGGAAACCCCAGUCGUUCGUUCCACCAACUUUUCUUUCCUCUCGCUUUUUUUUUUUUUUUUUUUGCUGAGGAAGAUUAGCCCUGAGCUAAUAUCUGUG